GAUGAACGCUGGCGGCGUGCUUAACACAUGCAAGUCGAACGAAGCGAUUUAGCGGAAGUUUUCGGAUGGAAGCCAAAUUGACUGAGUGGCGGACGGGUGAGUAACGCGUGGGUAACCUGCCUCAUACAGGGGGAUAACAGUUAGAAAUGACUGCUAAUACCGCAUAAGCGCACGAGGAUGCAUGUUCUUGUGUGAAAAACUCCGGUGGUAUGAGAUGGACCCGCGUCUGAUUAGCUAGUUGGAGGGGUAACGGCCCACCAAGGCGACGAUCAGUAGCCGACCUGAGAGGGUGACCGGCCACAUUGGGACUGAGACACGGCCCAA
rnacentral:rRNA from 1 species